rnacentral:rRNA from 1 species
CCUACGGUGAGCUGCAGUGAGGAAUAUUGGUCCAUGGACGGAAGUCUGAACCAGCCAUGCCGCGUGCAGGACGACGGCUCUCUGAGUUGUGAACUGCUUUUGUACAAGGGUAAACCUGAAUACGUGUAUUCAGCUGAAAGUACUGUACGAAUAAGGAUCGGCUAACUACGUGCCAGCAGCCGCGGUAAUCUGGAGGAUGCAAGAGUUAUCCGGAUUUAUUGGGUUGAAAGGGUGCGGAGGCGGAUUGAUAAGUUAGAGGUGAAAUGUACGAGCAUAACUCGGGAACUGCCUCUAAUACUGUUGAUCUAGAGAGUAGAUGCGGUAGGCGGAAUGUAUGGUGUAGCGGUGAAAUGCUUAGAGAUCAUACAGAACACCGAUUGCGAAGGCAGCUUACCAAUCUAUAUCUGACGUUGAGGCACGAAAGCGUGGGGAGCAAACAGGAUUAGAUACCCUUGUAGUC